AUUGCUAGUGCUUGUAUAUUGGUUAUUUUGGCAUGUUGCAGCUAGGCAGAAUUAAUCUGGAAAUUAUUUGAUAAUUAGCUGCAGCAGAGUCAUCAAGCUUCUUGUGAUAAACUGUGUGCACCGGAUUUGUGAACUGGUUUGAAAGCUAGAACAACAACUUGAGAACAGAUUGGAACCUUUUUCCCACGUCAUUUGUGCAAAGCCGAGAGCAAACAAUUUUGGGCAAUCAUUGGAGAAUAACUAGGAUCCUUUCACUACAUCAAUUUUCCAAAGCCGAGAAAAGGGAGGAAUCUUUUACAGAAUGCACAUGAGCUAGAAGACCUAAGGAUACCAUAAUUAGAGUGCAUUUCUGCAGCAGGAUUUUGAGCACACCGUAACAGCAGCCUUUGUGUAGUAAUAGUUUUGGUUCAUUUUUGGAUUUGUAAUAGGUUUGCUUUGAUUUCUUCUUUGUAAACGGCCAUUCAAAGUCCAAGUGGUGUGGGAAGAGUCCUUGGUGCUCUUUCUUUCAACUCUUGGCAAAACUUUUUCUUACUUAUGUUUGAAUUUUUUUGUGUUUCUCGUUUAGGUGAUCUACUUAGAAGUCCGCAAGUAGGAGUCUAGGUGUUUGUUUUUAAUCUUUGUUUGUUUGAGUCCACUUUUAAAUUCAAUAGUGAAUUCUCUUUGAAAAUUGGUCAAGUAAGUAACCUUA
rnacentral:lncRNA from 1 species